UGGGGAAUAUUGCACAAUGGGCGCAAGCCUGAUGCAGCCAUGCCGCGUGUGUGAAGAAGGCCUUCGGGUUGUAAAGCACUUUCAGUGAGGAGGAAGGUGGUGAGCUUAAUACGCUCAUCAAUUGACGUUACUCGCAGAAGAAGCACCGGCUAACUCCGUGCCAGCAGCCGCGGUAAUACGGAGGGUGCAAGCGUUAAUCGGAAUUACUGGGCGUAAAGCGCACGCAGGCGGUUUGUUAAGUCAGAUGUGAAAUCCCCGGGCUCAACCUGGGAACUGCAUUUGAAACUGGCAAGCUAGAGUUUCGUAGAGGGGGUAGAAUUCCAGGUGUAGCGGUGAAAUGCGUAGAGAUCUGGAGGAAUACCGGUGGCGAAGGCGGCCCCCUGGACGAAGACUGACGCUCAGGUGCGAAAGCGUGGGGCAGCAAACAGGAUUAGAUACCCUGGUAGUCCACGCUGUAAACGAUGUCGAUUUUGGAGGUUGUGCCCUUGAGGCGUGGCUUCCGGAGCUAACGCGUUAAAUCGACCGCCUGGGGAG
rnacentral:rRNA from 1 species